rnacentral:rRNA from 1 species
AGUGAACGCUGGCGGUAGGCCUAACACAUGCAAGUCGAACGGCAGCACAGUAAGAGCUUGCUCUUACGGGUGGCGAGUGGCGGACGGGUGAGGAAUACAUCGGAAUCUACUUUUUCGUGGGGGAUAACGUAGGGAAACUUACGCUAAUAUCGCAUACGACCUACGGGUGAAAGCAGGGGAUCUUCGGACCUUGCGCGAUUGAAUGAGCCGAUGUCGGAUUAGCUAGUUGGCGGGGUAAAGGCCCACCAAGGCGACGAUCCGUAGCUGGUCUGAGAGGAUGAUCAGCAACACUGGAACUGAGACACGCUCCAGACUCCUACGGGAGGCAGCAGUGGGGAAUAUUGGACAACGGGCGCAAGCCUAAUCCAGCCAUACCGCGUGGGUGAAGAAGGCCUUCGGGUUGUAAAGCCCUUUUGUUGGGAAAGAAAAGCAGCAGGUUAAUACCCCGCUGUUCUGACGGUACCCAAAGAAUAAGCACCGGCUAACUUCGUG